GUCGCAAGACCAAAGUGGGGGACCUUCGGGCCUCAUGCCAUCAGAUGUGCCCAGAUGGGAUUAGCUAGUAGGUGGGGUAACGGCUCACCUAGGCGACGAUCCCUAGCUGGUCUGAGAGGAUGACCAGCCACACUGGAACUGAGACACGGUCCAGACUCCUACGGGAGGCAGCAGUGGGGAAUAUUGCACAAUGGGCGCAAGCCUGAUGCAGCCAUGCCGCGUGUGUGAAGAAGGCCUCGGGUUGUAAAGCACUUUCAGCGGGGAGGAAGGCGGUGGAGGUUAAUAACCUCAUCGAUUGACGUUACCCGCAGAAGAAGCACCGGCUAACUCCGUGCCAGCAGCCGCGGUAAUACGGAGGGUGCAAGCGUAAUCGGAAUUACUGGGCGUAAAGCGCACGCAGGCGGUCUGUCAAGUCGGAUGUGAAAUCCCCGGGCU
rnacentral:rRNA from 1 species